rnacentral:rRNA from 1 species
GAUGAACGCUGGCGGCGUGCUUAACACAUGCAAGUCGAACGAUGAAGCCCAGCUUGCUGGGUGGAUUAGUGGCGAACGGGUGAGUAACACGUGAGUAACCUGCCCUUGACUCUGGGAUAAGCCUGGGAAACUGGGUCUAAUACUGGAUAUGACUUCUCAUCGCAUGGUGGGGGGUGGAAAGAUUUAUUGGUCUUGGAUGGACUCGCGGCCUAUCAGCUUGUUGGUGAGGUAAUGGCUCACCAAGGCGACGACGGGUAGCCGGCCUGAGAGGGUGACCGGCCACACUGAGACUGAGGCACGGCCCAGACUCCUACGGGAGGCAGCAGUGGGGAAUAUUGCACAAUGGGCGCAAGCCUGAUGCAGCGACGCCGCGUGAGGGAUGACGGCCUUCGGGUUGUAAACCUCUUGCAGUAGGGAAGAAGCGAGAGUGACGGUACCUGCAGAAGAAGCGCCGGCUAACUACGUG